GCCAGUAUCUCAUAUAUUCAAUUUCUUUUAUUAAUAUCUGCAAUCAUCAUUAAAACAAGUUGUUCAAUCAUAUACUAUUCAAAAAAUUAUAAGAUAGAAUUAGAGACACUCUUUUAUUCUAUAAAAUGAGUUUUGUGGUGAUUUAUCUUCCAUUUAAAUGGGCUUCUGGGAAGUGGGUGGUCUAAAAAAAAAUAUGAAAAAACAAAAAAAAAUAAGACCCUUUUUUUUUAAAUAUAGAAAAUCUAGAUCUAGUGUUCCUCGCUGAAACCCACUUGGGCAUUAAAUGAUCAAUUAGUUAUAUUUUCAAGAAAUGUUAUGUUGUUUUUAAAAAAGGAGUUGUUGAAAUUGCUAGCAAUUUACGACUUUCAUUUGAAUUUGGGAAAAAUAUUUUUGUUCAUAACCAUGAUAACGACGGAAGCACAGUUUUGAAAUAUUGUUAUGCACGUUUUGAAAAUGUCUAUAAUCAUGGUUUUAUUAAAACAUCUGCUAAUUUAGGUGUUAAAGCUGAACGUAAGAGACA
rnacentral:lncRNA from 1 species